ACGUAGGUGGCAAGCGUUGUCCGGAAUUACUGGGUGUAAAGGGAGCGUAGGCGGGAAGCCAAGUCAGCUGUGAAAACUACAGGCUUAACCUGUAGACUGCAGUUGAAACUGGUUUUCUUGAGUGAAGUAGAGGUUGGCGGAAUUCCGAGUGUAGCGGUGAAAUGCGUAGAUAUUCGGAGGAACACCGGUGGCGAAGGCGGCCAACUGGGCUUUAACUGACGCUGAGGCUCGAAAGUGUGGGGAGCAAACAGGAUUAGAUACCCUGGUAGUCCACACUGUAAACGAUGAUUGCUAGGUGUGGGGGGUCUGACCCCUUCCGUGCCGCAGCUAACGCAAUAAGCAAUCCACCUGGGGAGUACGACCGCAAGGUUG
rnacentral:rRNA from 1 species